rnacentral:rRNA from 1 species
AACGAACGCUGGCGGCAUGCCUAACACAUGCAAGUCGAACGAGACCUUCGGGUCUAGUGGCGCACGGGUGCGUAACGCGUGGGAAUCUGCCCUUGGGUUCGGAACAACAGUUGGAAACGACUGCUAAUACCGGAUGAUGACUUCGGUCCAAAGAUUUAUCGCCCAAGGAUGAGCCCGCGUAGGAUUAGCUUGUUGGUGAGGUAAAAGCUCACCAAGGCGACGAUCCUUAGCUGGUCUGAGAGGAUGAUCAGCCACACUGGGACUGAGACACGGCCCAGACUCCUCCGGGAGGCAUCAGUGGGGAAUAUUGGACAAUGGGCGAAAGUCUGAUCCAGCAAUGCCGCGUGAGUGAUGAAGGCCUUAGGGUUGUAAAGCUCUUUUACCCGGGAUGAUAAUGACAGUACCGGGAGAAUAAGCCCCGGCUAACUCCGUGCCAGCCGCCGCGGUAAGAC